rnacentral:misc_RNA from 1 species
UACGGAGGAUCCAAGCGUUAUCCGGAAUCAUUGGGUUUAAAGGGUACGUAGGCGGGAAAGUAAGUCAGUGGUGAAAGUCUGCAGCUCAACUGUAGAACUGCCAUUGAAACUGUUGUCAUUGAGUCAUUAUGAAGUGGUUAGAAUAUGUAGUGUAGCGGUGAAAUGCAUAGAUAUUACAUAGAAUACCGAUUGCGAAGUCAGAUCACUAAUAAAAUACUGACGCUGAUGGACGAAAGCGUAGGUAGCGAACAGU